rnacentral:rRNA from 1 species
UACAGAGGGUGCGAGCGUUAAUCGGAAUUACUGGGCGUAAAGCGUGCGUAGUCGGUUAUCUAAGUCGGGUGUGAAAUCCCCGGGCUCAACCUGGGAAUUGCAUUCGAUACUGGAUAGCUAGAGUUCGGCAGAGGGAAGCGGAAUUUCGGGUGUAGCGGUGAAAUGCGUAGAUAUCCGAGGGAACAUCAGUGGCGAAAGCGGCUUCCUGGACCAGAACUGACGAUCAGGCACGAAAGCGUGGGGAGCAAACAGG